rnacentral:lncRNA from 1 species
GUUCUCUCCAUGAUGACUCUGGGAUCCUGUGGUUCUGCCUACCUAGGGCUUUGGAAUCCUCUCCAUCUAGUAGGCAGAGGGGGCAAAUGCAUGGGAAAGCUACACCUGCUUCUUAAAAUCAUGGUCCCUAAAAGGACAUGGGCUUAUGCUCACAUUCUUUUGACUAGAACUCAUACAUGGCCAGAGACAACUGCAAAGAGAAUAGAGAAAUGUUGUUUAGGGUGAGCACGAAGCCUAAUGCCAUGAACACAACGAAUACUUCCUUUGCAGGUAGCUGUAGCUACCAG